rnacentral:rRNA from 1 species
AUUGAACGCUGGCGGCAGGCCUAACACAUGCAAGUCGAACGAGUGGCGGACGGGUGAGUAAUGUCUGGGAAACUGCCCGAUGGAGGGGGAUAACUACUGGAAACGGUAGCUAAUACCGCAUACUAGUAGAUGGACCUGCGUUGUAUUAGCUAGUAGGUGGGGUAACGGCUCACCUAGGCGACGAUCCCUAGCUGGUCUGAGAGGAUGACCGGCCACACUGGAACUGGUACACGGUCCAGACUCCUACGGGAGGCAGCAGUGGGGAAUAUUGCACAAUGGGCGCAAGCCGGAUGCAGCCAUGCCGCGUGGAUGAAGAAGGCCUUCGGGUUGUAAAGUACUUUCAGCGAGGAGGCGUUACUCGCAGAAGAAGCACCGGCUAACUCCGUGCCAGCAGCCGCGGUAAUAC